AUUGAACGCUGGCGGCAGGCCUAACACAUGCAAGUCGAGCGGCAGCGGAAAGUAGCUUGCUACUUUGCCGGCGAGCGGCGGACGGGUGAGUAAUGUCUGGGAGACUGCCUGAUGGAGGGGAUAACUACUGGAAACGGUAGCUAAUACCGCAUAACGUCGCAAGACCAAAGAGGGGGACCUUCGGGCCUCUUGCCAUCAGAUGUGCCCAGAUGGGAUUAGCUAGUAGGUGGGGUAACGGCUCACCUAGGCGACGAUCCCUAGCUGGUCUGAGAGGAUGACCAGCCACACGGGAACUGAGACACGGGCCAGACUCCUACGGGAGGCAGCAGUGGGGAAUAUUGCACAAAGGGCGCAAGCCUGAUGCAGCCAUGCCGCGUGUAUGAAGAAGGCCUUCGGGUUGUAAAGUACUUUCAGCGGGGAGGAAGGUGUUGAGGUUAAUAACCUCAGCAAUUGACGUUACCCGCAGAAGAAGCACCGGCUAACUCCGUGCCAGCAGCCGCCGUAACAC
rnacentral:rRNA from 1 species